GGGGGAUUGGCUUAUUUCACUUAGCAUGAUAUUCUCUCUUUUUUUUUUUUUUUUGUCUUUUUUGGAACUGGGGGUCAAAUCCCCGGCUCUGCGAAUGCAAGGCAGAUGUUUUGCCACUGAGCUACAUCCCAGCCCUAGCAUGAUAUUCUCUAGUUCCAUCCAUUUACUGGCAAAUGCCAUAAUUUCAUUCUUCUUUAUGGCUGAGUCCAUUAUGUGUAUAUACCACAUUUUCUUUAUCCAUUCAUUUGUUAAAGGAUACCUUGGUUUUUUCCAUAGCUUGGCUACUGUAAAUUGAGCUGCUAUAAACAUUGAUGUGGCUAUAUCACUGUAGUAUGCUAUGUUUAAGUCCUUUGGGUAUAGAGAGGAAUGGGAUAACUGGGUCAAAUAGUGGUUCCAUUUCAGGUUUUCUAAGGAAUUGCCAUACUGCUUUCCAUAGUGAUUACACCAAUUUGCUGUCCCACCAACAAUGUAUGAGAGUGUCUUUCUCCCCACAUCCUCCCCAAUAUUGAUUGUUACUUGUAUUCUUUAUAGCUGCCUGUAAUGGUUUGGAUGUGUUAGACAAUGCAAGAAGGUUCAGAGGAGAAAUGAUUGGGUUAUGAGAGUCUUAAUCCCAUCAGUGAAUUAAUCCCCUGAUUGGGAUUAACUGAGAGGUAACUGAAGUGGUAAGGUAUAGCCGGAGGAGGGGGGCAUUGGGUGUGGCUUUGGGGCAUGUAUUUGUAUCUGGCAAAUGGAGUCUCUCUGCUUCCUGAGGGCAAUGUGAACUGUUUCUGCCACACUCCUCCACCACAAUGUCCUGCCUCACUGAGGUGGAGCUGGCCUUCUAUGGACUAAGACCUCUGAUAACACGAGUCCUCAAAUAAACUUUUCCUCCUCUACAAUUGUUUGGUCAGAACUUUUAGUCAUAGCAGCAAAAAAGCUGACUAAAACACUGCCAUUCUGACCCGAGUACCCAACCCUUUUUAUUUUUUAUUUUGAGACAGAGUCUCACUAAGUUGCUAAGACCCACACUAAGUUACUGAGGCUAGUCUCAAACUUGCGAUCCUCCUGCCUCAGCCUCCCUAGUUACAGGAUUACAGGGGUGUGCCAUUGUGCCCAGCAUCACAUUUUUUUUUUCUUUCAAAAGAUUUAUUUGUGGGCUGGGGUUAUGGCUCAGUGGUAGAGUGCUCACCUAGCACGUGUGAGGCCCUGGGUUCGAUCCUCAGCAUCACACAAAAAUAAAUAAAAUAAAUGUAUAAAAAACAAAGAUUUAUUUUCUACAGAAUUGUGUAAGUUCACUAAUGAGCUGAACUCAGGACUUCUAUAUUUAAAAAGAUUUCGCUCACUGCUUGAUUACUGCAAGAGCUGAAAUAUUUAAAAAGCAGGGUUUUUGUUGUUUUGUUCUUACCAGCUUUGGCAUGUCUAGAAAAUUUUAGAAAAAAGUUAGACUCUAUAGAAUUAGAUGUCUAAAAAUAAGGGGAAAGAGCGGGGUGCAGUGGUGCAUGCCAGUAAUCCUGGCAGCUCAGGAGGCUAAGGAAGGAGGAUCCCGGGUUCUAAGCCAGACUCAGCAAAGGUGAGGUGCUAAACCAUUCAGUGAGACCUUGUCUCUAAAUAAAAUACAAAAUAGGACUGGGGAUGUGGCUCUGUGUUCAAGUGCCCUUGAAUUCAACCCCCAGUACCCCCCCGAAAAAAGAAACAUUUCAAAUUCCCCAUUUGUGCAGGUCCCGAGCUGAGAUCACAUUUAUCUGCAUGCACAGUGUUCUAAGUCAGAAAUGCAGUGGUUUAUAACAAAGAGCCUGAACUUGAACUUGAUUGGUAAAUAUUUUCAGGCACUGUAUGAAAGACAGGAUGUGUGCCAUUCACUUGGCUAAUUUUGGCCUUUGUCCUACUUGGCUUGAGAAUUUUUCUUGUUUCUUUUCUUUCUUUCUUUCUUCCUUUCUUCCUUUCUUCCUUUCUUUCUUUCUUUCUUUUGUACCAAAGAUCGAACCCAGGACCUCUUAAUGACUAAGCCACAUCCCCAGCCCUUUAAUAUUUUAUAUUUUAUUUAGAGACAGGAUCUCACUAAGUUGCUAAAGCUGGCUUUGAACUCAGGAUCCUCCUGCCUCAGCCUCCUGGGAUUAAAGCUGUGCCCCACCACACUCUGCUUGGCUUGUGAAAUUUUUAUAAAUAUCUCUUAAACCCAAACCUCCAGGUUUUCAAAAACCAAUCUUCUCAUUCUGGUUCACAAUAAUUUCAAAAACAAAAACUUUCACUGCAAGAUCACACACUUAUGUAUUUGCUGCCUGUGGACAGAUACAGAGAAACCAAGUACCAAUAUGUAUCAACAGUUCAUCACUGCAGCGGCGCAGUUCGGGGUGGCUGUCCCUCCCCGGCUCUGCACUUGCUAUGCCCCAGGGAUGUCCAUACAGGCAACAUCACCCUAAAGACGAUGUGAACCCCAAUAGCCACGGGUGGGGGUAACAUCCGCUCACCAGCCUCUAGCUCUAGGACCAGCUUUGUUUUUCAUCCAAGCAAUGUGCUGAUCACGUUUCACCCUCCUAAGCACAGAGACCACUUAAUAGCUGCAAACUGGUUCACAGAGGAUCUCUCAGGGCCUCUGGUGUCUCUCUUCAGCUCUUUUGGGUAGGUGAAAAGCACUUUGGGGAGGGGGGACAUCUGAGACGCUGAAACCAGAUCCAGUGACAGAACUUCCGUUGACCCAUCCAGCUGAGAGGGAACAUGAAGAGGCAGGCUUCUCUCUAGUGGCACUGGCACUGCCCUCAGGGACUUUGGCACCUUCCCCUCUGGCCCUGUCCUCAGGCCAGCCAGAGCUGCAUGAUUACAACUCUGCACAGGAUGGUGUGCUCUGAAGUGCCCCAUCGUUACCUCAAAGUUUUGAGCUUCCAUUUCUGCCAUCUUAAGUGUGUGUGUGUGUGUGUGUAUCCCCCAUACUUUUUCUACCCCUAUCUGUAAUGUUAGUUGAGGUUUUUUCCCAAAAGGAAGUGACUUAAAUAAACCCAAAGAAAUAAAAAGUAAAAUCUCCAAGUUUCAAAAGUAAUAGAAAAAGUAAUAGGUAAGUUUAGAAUCAGGAUUGCUAGGUAAGUAUGCCCAAGCCAUGCACUGCACAACUCAAAGUGCAACUAUCCAGAGGACUGACAAUAGCUAUAAUGUGAUGUGAAUGAUGCCACCAACAUCUAUGCAAACUGUCCAGCAUGCACAUGAAUUCAUGUAUGAAUGACAGCAUAUGUGCCAUUCUUGGUACUUCAUCAGCAAUCUCCUCAAGUAUUUCACCAAACAUCCCUCAAAUUAACCAUUGGCAAUAGAGGGCCUCAUCAUUUCUCACCUAUAUUACUGCAAAAGCUUACUUUUUUUUUUUUUUUGUGUGUGUGUGUGUGUGUGGCACUGGGGAUUGAACACAGGGACUUGUGCAUAUGAGGCAAGCACUCUAACAACUGAGCUAUAUCCCCAGCCCUUAAGAUAGGGUCCUGCUAAGUUGCUGAGCCUGGCCUCAAACUUGGAAUCCUCCUGCUUCAGCCUCCUAAAUAGCUAGGAGUAUCCCCACCACGCCCAGCUGCAGAAGCUUUCUUGCCUCCAUCUUCCCUUUCCCUCAGCCCAUCAUCCAGAGCAGAUUUUCAAAAGGGCAAAUAUUUUCUCUUGUCUAAAAUCUUAGAGGGACCAGGUCAGACAGGACCAAGUCCAAGCAAGAAGAGUGAGCUCUUCUGACCUGAGUCUGCCCAGACACUGCAGUACAAUUACACUCUUCUCCCCGCUCAUAUUCUGCAUUUUGGCUCCAACAGUCCCACAUCCCCCAGAUCCCUAAAUUGCUGGGCUAUUUCAUGUGGCUUUGAGACUUGGCCAGUGUUGUUUCCAUGUUUUGUUCCUUAUGCCCCACUUUUCUGCUAGUAUCAUGUUUAGUUUACUCUGAAAAACAUUCUCAAGAGAGCCUUGCUGGCCCCUGCUCCACUUGUUAUGGGGUGGACCAAUCCUGCCCUGGGUAAAAGGCUAGGCUAUAAUGCUCGCUGCCCCAGAAAUAUGUGGAAUCAAAUUGGUAGGAAAAUAGGUUUUAUUCAAAGACAGCUUUGAAGGAAGUUAGAAAAAACUUUAGAGUUUCAGAAGUUCCAUUUUCACUUAACCUAAUUUUUUUUUUUUCUGAACACUUUACCCUUUGAACUACAUCUUCUUGGGAUUUGGGUUUUGCAGGAUUGUUGAAAUUCUGCUUUAAAGAGUAAGUGUAAGGGGCUGGGGUUGUGGUUCAGUGAUGGAGUAGUUACCUAGCAUGCAAGAGGCUCUGGGUUCAAUCCUUAGCACCACAUAAAAAUAAAUAUAGGCAUUGUGUUCAUCUACAAAUAAAAGUAUUUUUUUAAAAAAGAGUGUUAGAAGGCUGGGGAUGUGGCUCAAGUGGUAGCACACUCGCCUGGCAUGCGUGCAGCCCGGGUUCGAUCCUCAGCACCACAUACAAAAAAACAAAGAUGUUGUGUCCGCCGAUAACUAAAAAAUAAAUAUUAAAAUUCUCUCUCUGUCUCUCUCUCUCUCCCUCUCUCACUCUCUCUUAAAAAAAAAAAAAAGUGUUAGAACUCCUUCUGUAAGGGUAAAAGAAAUUGAAGUUAAAGCGUAAAAGUUAAAGGGUAAAAGACCGGGUGUUGUAAAGUUUCUAAGCUACAAGGUCUGAGUUAAAAUGUAAAGAAUUAGGUAUUGUUAGGUUUCUAUGUUACCUGCAAAACGUGAAAUCCCUGUAGCUUUUAGGACAAUACUGGAAUUGCCCAGUAAAUAUUCCCACUGACUCCCUGGUUGUCCAAUAACUAGGGACUCUGUGUAACUGGUCACGUAGUCCUCUAGGCCCUAAAACCAAUCAGUUUGAAUGUGUACCCCGUUUAGAAAUGACCUAUCACUCCAGCCUGACCUGUUCCCGCCAAUGAAUGAACUAAUCAUGUUUAGGGGUUGUUGUUUGAUUUUCCCGCGGUGUAUAAUGAUUUGUUAAAGGAGACUGUGAUGUAUGUAAAACCCCCGCCCUCCCAAAAAAAGUGUACUUAAGCAGUGCUCAGUCCCUGCUCGGGGCUCUGGGCUGUUUUCCCUUCUUGAGUGGGCACGGAGCCCCAGCAUGCUGGUUCAAUAAAUCCCCUUCUGCCAAUUGCAUGA
rnacentral:lncRNA from 1 species